UAUAAGUCUGCAGUUUGUAGAGAAGGUUGUUGCUGUUGGUUCUGCAGCCAUGUCAAUGAACCUUCUGUUGCAAAUUGUGUGCCUGAUUUUUCACUGUACAAUUCUUGAGUUAUUUGAUGAUUGUGGAUUGAAUUGCCUGGUAAAAAUUGUGUAUGCAAAUAUUCAGACCAUUUGAUGUCUUCAGGAUCAAUUUCUGAUGGAUUAAUAUUGGCUUCUUUUUCUGAUUUCCCACAGUCAGCAGCUGCCCAUGAGAAUGCAUUAUUAUCAAAGAAAGAAGAGUUUCUUUGCAAUUGAUCAAUACUAGUACUGCUCCCAUUGCUGGUAAACGUCCCUAUUGAAUUAUUACUUGCUGCUGCUAUUGGAGAUGUGAGAAUUGAG
rnacentral:lncRNA from 1 species